rnacentral:lncRNA from 1 species
GUGCUAAGCUAAGAGCUAACCCGCUUGUUUCCUAUAAAAGAUCUGUACCCCAAAGCCCGGUGUGCCAGUUCACCGAAGCUCCGGCUGAGGUUUUGCUGUGCACCCGCAGGCGCCUGUGUGAGAAUAAACGCCUCCUGCUUUUUGCAGCCAGUGUCUCGUGUGGUUCAUUCCGGGUUUGGGAUCUGUGGAUCUUUCACUAGGAAGGUAGGAAGAGUUAGGCAGGUUCACAGAGCUGAAGGAUCUGUAUGGCUGAAGCAUAGUAAGAAGAGAACAGAGAGAUGAGGAAAUGAGGGCAAUCAGGAAGAGCCUUCAAGAUGUUUGGAUUUUACUCUAACAGUUUGAAAGCCAUAGAAGGGCUUUAAGCAAGGGUUGCCAUGAUGUGGUUAUCUUUUAGAAACAUGUCUUCCUGUUUCGGUGUGAAGAAUGGGUUAGAAGGCGAUGGAAUAGAAGCAGGGAGGACCAUGUAGGAAACUCCAAAUGAAGCUGUCUAGGUGAGGAAUUAUGGUG